UACGUAGGGGGCAAGCGUUGUCCGGAUUUAUUGGGCGUAAAGAGCGUGUAGGCGGUUUGGUAGGUCCGCUGUGAAAACUCGAGGCUCAACCUCGAGACGCCGGUGGAAACCAUCAGACUAGAGUCCGGAAGAGGAGAGCGGAAUUCCUGGUGUAGCGGUGAAAUGCGCAGAUAUCAGGAAGAACACCCGUGGCUAAGGCGGCUCUCUAGUACGGUACUGACGCUGAGGCGCGAAAGCCAGGGGAGCGAACGGG
rnacentral:rRNA from 1 species